UCCAUUGGACUACUUUUCCUCGACAGCCAGGUCGACAUAGAUUCGUGCCUGGCUCUUUUUCUCAACAGCCAGGACGAGAGCCGUGGCUCGCUCUUUUCGUCGACCGCCGCCUCGAGAGAGAGCUGUGUCUGGCUCUUUUUCUCGACCGCUGGGUCGAUGUAGAGCCGUGCCUGGCUCUUUUAAUCGACCGCCCAGUCGAUAUAGAAUCGUGCUUGGCUUGUUU